rnacentral:lncRNA from 1 species
UAGCUUUGGUUAUAUUUAUUGGGAUGUUACAGUAUCCGCACUCAGAUGACCCAUUUUGUCUGUUACACUAGAAUAUAUCAUCACAGUUAAUAAUAGUUAGUGAAUAACAUUAAAAUAAAACAAGUAUAACAAAGUAUGGCUUUAGCAUAUGUCAAACCUUGAGAGAAAUCCAAGCAAUCUUUCUACUGUUAGCAAUUGAUCUCCCACCCAU